CGGGCAAUAGCGCAGCUGGUAGCGCGCGACGUUCGGGACGUUUAGGUCGCUGGUUCAAAUCCAGUUUGCCCGA
rnacentral:tRNA from 1 species